AUGGUCAAGGAGUGGUGGGCGGCGGUGGUCCUUCGGCAUGGUCACAAGAGGAAGGCGGUUGCAUCGCUCAUCAUGCUCGUCUCUUGGGAGGUCUAGAAAGAGAGAAACGCGAAGGUUUUCCAGAACGUGUGCAGGUUGCCAAAUAUGUUGGUCGAGGCCAUUAAGGCAGAGGCGAGACUUUGGGUGAUCGCGGGGGCGACACGUUUGAGUUCUAUAAUGCCGCGGGAGUAG
rnacentral:rRNA from 1 species